rnacentral:tRNA from 1 species
UGCAGCUUAGUGGUAGAGCACUUGCCUAGCAUGUAGAAGUCCCUGGGUUCAAUCCCCAGAAUUGCAA